rnacentral:lncRNA from 1 species
AAAUCUCAUCAUUGCUCAAUUUCCUCUGGUGGCCAUUUUUUAAAAAAAAUUGUCUUAUAAAUAGUUAUUUCAAGAAAAAAAUAUCUUUUUUUAAUUCCACAAUACUAACAAUACUGACAGCACAUAUUGUAACCUAUCUUGUUACUCAGUUAAUGGCAUUCUUUGUUUGGUGUACAGAAGCAUUUUAGUGUCAUGAAUUCCUGUUCUUAUUGUAUGAGAAAUUGCAAUCACAUUCAGUAAAGCCUUCCUUUUGCAAAUG